AACUUUCAACAACGGAUCUCUUGGUUCUGGCAUCGAUGAAGAACGCAGCGAAAUGCGAUAAGUAAUGUGAAUUGCAGAAUUCAGUGAAUCAUCGAAUCUUUGAACGCACAUUGCGCCCCUUGGUAUUCCGAGGAGCAUGCCUGUUC
rnacentral:rRNA from 1 species